rnacentral:rRNA from 1 species
AGAGUUUGAUCCUGGCUCAGGACGAACGCUGGCGGCGUGCUUAACACAUGCAAGUCGAACGGACGGACUCGAUAGCUUGCUAUUGGGAAAGUUAGUGGCAAACGGGUGAGUAACGCGUAGGCAACCUGCCCUUCAGAUGGGGACAACACUUCGAAAGAGGUGCUAAUACCGAAUGACGUAUCCAUUCCGCAUGGAGAGGAUACCAAAGGCCGGGCAACCGGUCACUGAAGGAUGGGCCUGCGUCUGAUUAGCUAGUUGGUGGGGUAACGGCCCACCAAGGCGACGAUCAGUAGCCGGUCUGAGAGGAUGAACGGCCACAUUGGGACUGAGACACGGCCCAAACUCCUACGGGAGGCAGCAGUGGGGAAUCUUCCGCAAUGGGCGCAAGCCUGACGGAGCAACGCCGCGUGAGUGAAGAAGGUUUUCGGAUCGUAAAGCUCUGUUGAGAGGGACGAGAGGCAAGGCUAGGAAAUGAGCUUUGUAGGACGGUACCUUUCGAGGAAGCCACGGCUAACUACGUGCCAGCAGCCGCGGUAAUACGUAGGUGGCGAGCGUUGUCCGGAAUUAUUGGGCGUAAAGGGAGCGCAGGUGGGAAAGUAAGUCAGUCUUAAAAGUGCGGGGCUCAACCCCGUGAGGGGAUUGAAACUACUUUUCUUGAGUGCAGGAGAGGAAAGCGGAAUUCCUAGUGUAGCGGUGAAAUGCGUAGAUAUUAGGAGGAACACCAGUGGCGAAGGCGGCUUUCUGGACUGUAACUGACACUGAGGCUCGAAAGCCAGGGGAGCGAACGGGAUUAGAUACCCCGGUAGUCCUGGCCGUAAACGAUGGAUACUAGGUGUAGGAGGUAUCGACCCCUUCUGUGCCGGAGUUAACGCAAUAAGUAUCCCGCCUGGGGAGUACGGUCGCAAGACUGAAACUCAAAGGAAUUGACGGGGGCCCGCACAAGCGGUGGAGUAUGUGGUUUAAUU